rnacentral:lncRNA from 1 species
GGGCCUCCGGAGGCCGGGGCGGUUGGGACGGCAGGCGCAAAAGAUGGGGCCUCCGAGAAGCUAGCCAGCUCCUUUAGCGCCGGGCGUGGAGCCGUGGUUUUCUGGAGAGGCCCGUGUGAUGGUGCCAAGAGGAAGGAAGCGCCUUGACAGCGCCUCAGUCGGAACCCGAGUUCCGAGGGCAAGGACGAUCGGGGACGGCGGCCCUGGCGAGCUGGCCGCCGGCAGGGCGAGCAGUCACAAUAGGAGGCGGCGGCCCGGCCCGGAGCGGUGGGAGCAGCCCCGCAGGGCGGAGCCUCCCCUCGCAGAGUGAAGAUAGUCCAAGUCCUAAGAGACAGCGCCUCUCUCAUUCAGUCUUUGAUUAUACAUCAGCAUCACCAGCUCCCUCACCACCAAUGCGACCAUGGGAGAUGACAUCAAAUAGGCAGCCCCCUUCAGUUCGACCAAAUCAGCAUCACUUCUCAGGGGAACGAUGUAACACACCUGCACGCAACAGGAGAAGUCCUCCUGUUAGGCGUCAGCGAGGAAGAAGGGAACGUCUGUCUCGACAUAAUUCCAUUAGUCAAGAUGAAAACUAUCACCAUCUCCCUUAUGCACAACAGCAAGCAAUAGAGGAACCUCGAGCCUUCCACCCUCCGAAUGUAUCUCCCCGUCUGUUACAUCCAGCUGCUCAUCCACCCCAGCAGAAUGCAGUCAUGGUUGACAUACAUGAC